AUCGCCAUGGGCGCCAUGCGAGCAAGCAAAUUUGAACCAGACAGUAUGAGGGAAUACCCGGAAGUCAAUGUAAACAACCGGCUUUCGUAAUGUCGGGCUGUCAUUGCUCAGCUAUAAAUUGCUCGAAUCGGCAAAAAAAUUGCCCCGACCUGUCAUUCUUUAGGUUUCCGAAGGAUGGAAAGAGAAGUCAAGAAUGGGUCCAAAAUAUAAGAAGAGAUGACCUAAGGAAGAGAUCUCCAGAAUAUUUAUACAGCAAUUGUUGAGUGUGUUCAAAUCAUUUUGAAAGCCAUCAGUUCAACAACAGACAAAGAAAUAGUCUCAAGCACGAUGCUAUUCCAACUGUUUUUUGCAUUCCAAAUCCACCUAGUAAAUUGGCACAACAAAUAAUGCCAGCCCUUUCAUCAAAUUGUGCACCAGAUUAUGAUAGGUUUGUGCUGACCUUAUCCUCUCUGGCACAGAGAGAUAAGCCAGUCAACCAUUCAAGAGUACCGCAAACUGUAACACCCGCCACCGCUUGCCAGUGAAUUCUGUCCCAAGCCUCCCUGAGGAAAACACCAUGGCCUAUAUUGCUGGCUACCUGUGUAGAAAGGUUCUUCUCAGUCAUGAGGUAGUUGCUCCUUGCAAACAGUGUCAAUCAACCUUGCUGGCUUCUGAUGCAACAUGUAAUGACCCUUCGCUUCUCUUCACUCACUACAAGGCAUAUGAUACCACUAAGAAUGAUUUUGGUGCUCUGAAAGUUCCAUCUGUGGCAUUAAUUAUCUUUUGCUUAAUGUGUGAAAACAUUUUCAGAAGAAAAUUUAAUGACACCAACUUGUUCUGUAACAACAUAAGUUACUCAAUUCUAUGUGCCAUCAAACAAGAAAGUUGUUACAGUGCCUUAAAAGUUUGCGAUGACAAAGUCAGAGACAAACUUGUAGCCAUCUAUGUCAGUAUGCGCAUACAUUAUGCACUUAAGUUCAAGAAUAGACAAUUAAAAGCUGAUGCUUUAAACAAGAGAAGGAGAAACAGAAAGUAUUGCUGUUCAAUGUGGUAUCCAUGGCAAUUUUGCAUUGGUUCAGUAUUGCUGAUAGAGGUCCGGUUUUGUACAUGAACAGGUAUUUU